UACGUAGGGACCAAGCGUUGUUCGGAUUUACUGGGCGUAAAGGGCGCGUAGGCGGCGCGGUAAGUCACUUGUGAAAUCUCUGAGCUUAACUCAGAACGGCCAAGUGAUACUGCAGUGCUAGAGUGUGGAAGGGGCAAUCGGAAUUCUUGGUGUAGCGGUGAAAUGCGUAGAUAUCCAGAGGAACACCUGAGGUGAAGACGGGUUGCUGGGCCAACACUGACGCUGAUGCGCGAAAGCCAGGGGAGCAAACGGG
rnacentral:rRNA from 1 species